rnacentral:rRNA from 1 species
GACGAACGCUGGCGGCGUGCUUAACACAUGCAAGUCGAACGGAAAGGCCUCUUUCGGGGGGUACUCGAGUGGCGAACGGGUGAGUAACACGUGAGUAACCUGCCCUUGACUUUGGGAUAACUUCAGGAAACUGGGGCUAAUACCGGAUAGGAGCUCCUGCUGCAUGGUGGGGGUUGGAAAGUUUCGGCGGUUGGGGAUGGACUCGCGGCUUAUCAGCUUGUUGGUGGGGUAGUGGCUUACCAAGGCUUUGACGGGUAGCCGGCCUGAGAGGGUGACCGGCCACAUUGGGACUGAGAUACGGCCCAGACGCCUACGGGAGGCAGCAGUGGGGAAUAUUGCACAAUGGGUGGAAGCCUGAUGCAGCAACGCCGUGUGCGGGAGGACGGCCUUCGGGUUGUAAACCGCUUUCGCUCAUGACGAAGCUUUGUGUGACGGUAGUGGGUAAAGAAGCACCGGCUAACUACGUG